rnacentral:misc_RNA from 1 species
AAAGUCGUAACAAGGUCUCCGUUGGUGAACCAGCGGAGGGAUCAUUACCGAGUUGCAAAACUCCCAACCCAUUGUCUACCCAUCUUUACAGCGUCUGCUCCGGCGGGCGGCCCCAGGGCGGGGCCGUCGCCGACGUUCCGGCGUCGGCGCCCGCCGGAGGAGACACCCCAACUCGUACUGUUUUUAGUAUCUCUGAACCCAAAAGACAAAUAGUCAAAACUUUCAACAACGGAUCUCUUGGUUCUG